CCAGACUCCUACGGGAGGCAGCAGUGGGGAAUAUUGCACAAUGGGGGAAACCCUGAUGCAGCGACGCCGCGUGAGUGAAGAAGUAUUUCGGUAUGUAAAGCCCUAUCAGCAGGGAAGAAAUAGCGACCUUUGGGUCGCCAGACGGUACCUGAUUAAGAAGCCCCGGCUAACUACGUGCCAGCAGCCGCGGUAAUACGUAGGGGGCAAGCGUUAUCCGGAUUUACUGGGUGUAAAGGGAGCGUAGACGGCAGCGCAAGUCUGAAGUGAAAUGCCGGGGCUUAACCCCGGAACUGCUUUGGAAACUGUGCAGCUAGAGUGCAGGAGAGGUAAGUGGAAUUCCUAGUGUAGCGGUGAAAUGCGUAGAUAUAAGGAAGAACACCAGUGGCGAAGGCGGAUUACUGGACGAUAACUGACGGUGAGGCGCGAAAGCGUGGGGAGCAAACAGGAUUAGAUACCCCAGUAGUA
rnacentral:rRNA from 1 species